rnacentral:rRNA from 1 species
UAAGGCGUAAGCCAAGGUAUAGGAGCUGACUCCUGCCCAGUGCCGGAAGGUCAAGGGGAUCCGUCAGCGCAAGCGAAGCGGUGAACUUAAGCCCCGGUGAACGGCGGCCGUAACUAUAACGGUCCUAAGGUAGCGAAAUUCCUUGUCGGGUAAGUUCCGACCCGCACGAAUGGAGUAACGAUUUGGGCACUGUCUCAACAGGGGGCCCGGCGAAAUUGUAGUAUACGUGAAGAUGCGUAUUAACCCGCGACCGGACGGAAAGACCCCGUAGAGCUUUACUGUAACUUGAUAUUGAAUCUCGGCAAUUGAUGCACAGAAUAGGUGGGAGACGAAGAAGCAUGUGUUUCGGCAUGUGUGGAGUCAACUUUGGGAUACCACUCUUCGAUUGCUGCGAUUCUAACCGGGACCGUUGAAGCACGGCUCGGGACAUUGUCAGGUGGGCAGUUUGACUGGGGCGGUCGCCUCCUAAAGUGUAACGGAGGCGCCCAAAGGUUCCCUCAGAAUGGUUGGAAAUCAUUCGGCGAGUGUAAAGGCAAAAGGGAGCUUAACUGUGAGACAGACAUGUCGAACAGAUGCGAAAGCAGGGCUUAGUGAUCAGGUGGUAUGAGAAUGGAAUUGCCAUCGCUUAACGGAUAAAAGUUACCUCGGGGAUAACAGGCUUAUCUCCCCCAAGAGUUCACAUCGACGGGGAGGUUUGGCACCUCGAUGUCGGCUCGUCACAUCCUGGGGCUGAAGCAGGUCCCAAGGGUUCGGCUGUUCGCCGAUUAAAGUGGCACGCGAGCUGGGUUCAAAACGUCGUGAGACAGUUUGGUCCCUAUCCAUCGUGGGCGUAGGAUACUUGAGAGGGCUUGUCCUUAGUACGAGAGGACCGGGAUGAACGCACCACUGGUGCACCUGUUGUCGCGCCAGCGGCAUGGCAGGGUAGCGGAGUGCGGUUGAGAUAAACGCUGAAAGCAUCUAAGCGUGAAACUCACCUCAAGAUAAGGUAUCCCAUAUCGUAAGAUAGUAAGACCCCUUGAAGACAACAAGGUUGAUAGGUCGGAGGUGGAAGUACAGUAAUGUAUGCAGCUGACCGAUACUAAUAGGUCGAGGGCUUGAUCU